GGCGAACGCUGGCGGCGUGCUUAGCACAUGCAAGUCGAACGGAAAGGCCCUGCUUUUGUGGGGUGCUCGAGUGGCGAACGGGUGAGUAACACGUGAGUAACCUGCCCUUGACUUUGGGAUAACUUCAGGAAACUGGGGCUAAUACCGGAUAGGAGCUCCUGCUGCAUGGUGGGGGUUGGAAAGUUUCGGCGGUUGGGGAUGGACUCGCGGCUUAUCAGCUUGUUGGUGGGGUAGUGGCUUACCAAGGCUUUGACGGGUAGCCGGCCUGAGAGGGUGACCGGCCACAUUGGGACUGAGAUACGGCCCAGACUCCUACGGGAGGCAGCAGUGGGGAAUAUUGCACAAUGGGCGGAAGCCUGAUGCAGCAACGCCGCGUGCGGGAUGACGGCCUUCGGGUUGUAAACCGCUUUCGCCUGUGACGAAGCGUGAGUGACGGUAAUGGGUAAAGAAGCACCGGCUAACUACGUG
rnacentral:rRNA from 1 species